ACAAAAAAAAGAAAAUAUUUGCAAUACAAAAAAGCAACUACACUUGGUCUGAUCAAGAAUACAGAUCUCUCUAAAAGAAAUAAUACAGAGAACCCAGAUUUAUACGCCUUGCAAAGCAAAUUUUUCUUCCAUUAGAGGAAAUUUUUAUUCCCAGUGAAAACUUAAACAGAGCACUUGUGCACCACUAAAAUUGAAUGCUAACUCCAAAGAUUGAUCUUUUGAAAUAAUUUUGACUCAAAAAAUCACAAGACCUUAAGAACUAGCAUUAAGGCCUUUCUUUUCUUCUCCCCUGAAAGGGAAGUUAGAAAAGACCCAAACAAAUAAAUUUCACAUUUUAAUCCUCCUAAUUCCAUUUUUAGCUCUAAUUUAGUACGGAGUAUUAGUUAGUUAAUCCAGACAACCAAUUACAUACACAAUUGAAUCAUUUUCUAAGUCAGAAUUAAGUAAAGUCACCAACCAAUCAUUUCCUAAUGACUAUCAAAUCUUCAUAACCAACCACAAAGCUAGCCUGCCAAAGUCUUGUAGACUAGCAGCAGCAUAAUUCCUUACCAUUUUUUUCAACAACAAAAAAAUAAAAAUAAAAAUAAAAAUAAUAAAAAUAAAAACUAUAAAUAUAGCAUUUAAAGCUAGCUGAAAAGUUCUGAGCAAAAAUGAACUUUAAAAAAAAAAAAAA